rnacentral:piRNA from 1 species
UAGCCUUCUUGUUCUGGUGAAUCAUUUCU